rnacentral:misc_RNA from 1 species
UCCCAUUCGACACGGGCAGUCCGUCUAGAGUGCACCUUUCGGUUAGCAACUAGACACAAGGGUUUCGCUCGUUACGGGACUUAACCCAACAUCUCACGACACGAGCUGACGACGGCCAUGCAGCACCUCUGCUGGCUCCCUUGCGGGUCAGUCCAUGUUUCCAAAGACUUACCACCAGUAGUUCAAGCCCAGGUAAGGUUCUUCGCGUUGCGUCGAAUUAAACCACAUGCUCCACCGCUUGUGCGGGCCCCCGUCAAUUCCUUUGAGUUUCAACCUUGCGGCCGUACUCCCCAGGCGACUCAUUUAAUGCGUUAGCUACGGCGCGGAAGGGGUCGAUACCUACCACACCUAAUGAGCAUCGUUUAGGGCUAGGACUAC